AUGGAGAUUUUGGAAAAGCACGGCCAGGCUGAUGUUUUUGCGUAUGAAGCACUUUUAAAUGGGUACUGUAAAGCUGAUAUAGUUGAUGCUGCCAAUAAGGAAUGCCUCUGCACUAUGGGAGUUCUAUUUAAAUACUACUGCACUUUACUUUGUAACUUCCAUUUUAUAAGAUUUGUGAAUCAUCCCAAUUUCGUGAACAUUCAGCAGGGUCAUUCAUCUCAAGAGCUAUGA